AACGAACGCUGGCGGCAUGCCUAACACAUGCAAGUCGAACGAACCCUUCGGGGUUAGUGGCGCACGGGUGCGUAACGCGUGGGAAUCUGCCCUUUGCUUCGGAAUAACUCAGGGUAACUUGUGCUAAUACCGGAUGAUGUCUUCGGACCAAAGAUUUAUCGGCAAGGGAUGAGCCCGCGUAGGAUUAGGUAGUUGGUGGGGUAAAGGCCUACCAAGCCGACGAUCCUUAGCUGGUCUGAGAGGAUGAUCAGCCACACUGGGACUGAGACACGACCCAGACUCCUACGGGAGGCAGCAGUGGGGAAUAUUGGACAAUGGGCGCAAGCCUGAUCCAGCAAUGCCGCGUGAGUGAUGAAGGCCCUCGGGUCGUAAAGCUCUUUUACCAGGGAUGAUAAUGACAGUACCUGGAGAAUAAGCUCCGGCUAACUCCGUG
rnacentral:rRNA from 1 species